rnacentral:rRNA from 1 species
UGGGGAUAAUACCGGAUAACGCAUAUAUGCUGGAAUGCUUUAUGCGUAAAAUGGAUUCGUCUGCCNAAGGAUGGGUCUGCGGCCUAUCAGGUAGUAGUGGGUGUAAUGUACCUACUAGCCUACAACGGGUACGGGUUGUGAGAGCAAGAGCCCGGAGAUGGAUUCUGAGACAUGAAUCCAGGCCCUACGGGGCGCAGCAGGCGCGAAAACUUUACAAUGCGGGAAACCGUGAUAAGGGGACACCGAGUGCCAGCAUCAUAUGCUGGCUGUCCAGAUGUGUAAAAUACAUCUGUUAGCAAGGGCCGGGCAAGACCGGUGCCAGCCGCCGCGGUAACACCGGCGGCCCGAGUGGUGAUCGUGAUUAUUGGGUCUAAAGGGUCCGUAGCCGGUUUGGUCAGUCCUCCGGGAAAUCUGAUGGCUCAACCAUUAGGCUUUCGGGGGAUACUGCCAGGCUUGGAACCGGGAGAGGUAAGAGGUACUACAGGGGUAGGAGUGAAAUCUUGUAAUCCCUGUGAGACCACCUGUGGCGAAGGCGUCUUACCAGAACGGGUUCGACGGUGAGGGACGAAAGCUGGGGGCACGAACCGGAUUAGAUACCCGGGUAGUCCCAGCCGUAAACGAUGCUCGCUAGGUGUCAGGCAUGGCGCGACCGUGUCUGGUGCCGCAGGG